AGGCCAUGGUGUGGGCACUAAUUCAAUAGAUCUUUGAAUCUUUCCAAGACUUGAUAGAAUGUUUCAUUGUCCUUUUGGGAAAAUGUGGAAAUUUGUCAUUUUAGAAGGUU